rnacentral:rRNA from 1 species
UUGAACGCUGGCGGCAGGCCUAACACAUGCAAGUCGAGCGGUUGAGAGUAGCUUGCUACUUGAUGCAGCGGCGGACGGGUGAGUAACGCGUGGGAAUCUGCCCAGUAGUGGGGGACAACAGCCGGAAACGGCUGCUAAUACCGCAUACGCCCUACGGGGGAAAGGGGGGGAUCUUCGGACCUCUCGCUAUUGGAUGAGCCCGCGUCGGAUUAGCUAGUUGGUAGGGUAAAGGCCUACCAAGGCUACGAUCCGUAACUGGUCUGAGAGGAUGAUCAGUCACACUGGAACUGAGACCAGGUCCAGACUCCUACGGGAGGCAGCAGUGGGGAAUAUUGGACAAUGGGGGAAACCCUGAUCCAGCCAUGCCGCGUGUGUGAAGAAGGCCUUAGGGUUGUAAAGCACUUUCAGUGGGGAGAAAGGUUUGUCACCUAAUACGUGAUGAAAUUGAUGUUACCCACAGAAGAAGCACCGGCUAACUCCGUGCCAGCAGCCGCGGUAAUAC